rnacentral:lncRNA from 1 species
AUUCAGUUCAGGAGGCCGAGAAACCUAAGAACCUGGAACCAGCAUCCAGCAUGGACUUUUGUGCAGCAUGGAGAGCUGGGCUAAAUGUAUCCUUUGAUCUUAAAGGCCCCACCUCAUACCAUACAAUGACAACAGAGUUGCAGCAUGAAUUUGGAAGAGACCUUAAACCAUCCUACUGGUCCCAUCUUGGCCCCCUUUGGCCAAAUCAGGUGGAUCCCAAAACCCUGCAGGUCAUGGCAAAUGAGUGCACCAACGCAGU